CUACGGGGGGCAGCAGUCGAGGAAAUUUUACAAUGCUCGCAAGAGUGAUAAAAUAAACCAGAGUGUUUCUCCUAGAGAAACUUUUGCCUAAUGUAAAAAGUUAGGCGAAUAAGGACUGGGCAAGACCGGUGCCAGCCGCCGCGGUAAUACCGGCGGUCCAAGUCGUAUCCACAUUUAUUGGGUCUAAAACAUUCGUAGCUUGUUUAACAAGUUUCUUGUGAAAUCUGACAUCUCAAGUGUCAGGCGUGCAAGAAAUACUGUUUUACUAGAGACCGGAAGAUGCAAAGAGUAUGAUUAAGGUAGCGGUAACAUGUGUUAAUCUUAAUCAGACUAACAAUGGCGAAGGCACUUUGCAAGUACGGAUCUGACAGUGAGGAAUGAAGGCCAGGGGCGCAAAAGGGAUUAGAUACCCUCGUAGUC
rnacentral:rRNA from 1 species